GAGUCUGUAGUUGAGGUACAAUACAGGAUUGCAAGUCCUGAGGCAAGGAUUCU
rnacentral:tRNA from 1 species